GUAGGUGGCAAGCGUUGUCCGGAAUUAUUGGGCGUAAAGCGCGCGCAGGCGGUUCUUUAAGUCUGAUGUGAAAGCCCACGGCUCAACCGUGGAGGGUCAUUGGCAACUGGAGAACUUGAGUACAGAAGAGGAAAGCGGAAUUCCACGUGUAGCGGUGAAAUGCGUAGAGAUGUGGAGGAACACCAGUGGCGAAGGCGGCUUUCUGGUCUGUAACUGACGCUGAGGCGCGAAAGCGUGGGGAGCAAACAGGAUUAGAUACCCUGGUAGUCCACGCCGUAAACGAUGAGUGCUAAGUGUUAGGGGGUUUCCGCCCCCCUUAGUGCUGCAGCUAACGCAUUAAGCACUCCGCCUGGGAGUACGGCCGCAAGGCUG
rnacentral:rRNA from 1 species